UGACGAGGUACAGUUUCAUAGCAAUCAGAAAAUGAAAAAUCUCCAAAUGUGCGUCCUAGAUUAACAAUCCUUUUCCUCAUCAAUUAUAAGAGGCAUCUCUAAAAUCUCUUUAUCUAACUCUGGAAAAGUAGAAGAAAAAAAGAAGAAGGAAUAACCGAUUUUCCCAUAUCAUAAUGUCUGAGACUUUUGUCUGAAAUAGAGAAGGAGCAAGCUCAGUAGCAGCAACAGCGUCCAUAAUAGGCAUAACCAACCACUUAUCAAUCAAAAGAGAAGUACUAGAACCAUACCAAUUGCUCAGCGAUAAUUCUAAAACAAGAUAUGAACAAUAGAUUAAUGCCGGGCCAUAUAGAAGAUUGUUUGUAACAAGAAAAGUAUAAAUAACCAUGUAGUUGAAAUCGCUCCAAAAAACUGUAGAGAAUUAGAAGUAAUAAUAACUCAUCUAAUGUGCCAUUUGGUAUUAUGGUCUGUUAGUAUUCCUCUUCACUUAUAAGUGAGAUGUGUUAUGUUUCAUUUUCGCUAAAAGCGGAGUUGAACCACAUAAUACGUUACCCAGUGUGAGACUUAGCCUACCCUCCAACCUUAAUGUAGAUACUAUCGUUUAUAAAAUAAUAAUAAUAAUAAUAAUAAUAAAAUAAAAACAAAAAAAAAUAAAAAAUAACUCAUCUAAGAUUUAAGAGAACUCUAAUAUCUAGGGAGCAAAAAUCACAUAAACCGCAAUCCAUCCUCUUUUUCGAUGCACAAAUCCGAGACAAAAACCACUGACAAUUUUCAUUGAACUAACGUCAGCAAACUGUCACAAUUUUCUUUGAACUAACGUCAGCGGAGCAUAUCUGGUGGGAAAGUGAACGCCCGCCACAAAGAAUUGAUUCCAGGCAAUUUCCAUGUCCUUUCACAGACAAUCGGAUUCUUCUUCUAUUUAAUUAACAAUUAUUGCAAUGCGCACUCUUAACCCUCCUCUCACUUUCACUCAACCCUUAGCGCCUCACGGAGCUCACAGCUCAGCGUCGGUACGGCGGCGUCGUCAGUUCCCGAUUCAUCCAUGGCGGAGGCCGAUUCCAGCCGUGUUGACUUGGAUUACGCGGAGAUCAUUGUAGUGCGUCAUGGCGAAACGGUCUGGAAUGCUGACCGUAGAAUCCAGACAUUUACUAAAUCAGAAAGAGAAAGGAUAGAGAGGAUAGAGAGCCAACCAGACAUUUACUUGCUAUUAGCAAGUUAACUGGUUUAUUUCUUUUCAACGUUCACCAUUUUCUAUUAACCGUUUUAGAUAUUUAGUUCUCAAUUCAAACCAUCGACUUUCUGUAGUAUUUAAUAUUACGUUCACAAUUUUUAUCCUAAACUCCUUAGUUAUUUA